rnacentral:misc_RNA from 1 species
AACGCACCUUGCGCUCCUUGGUAUUCCGAGGAGCAUGCCUGUUUGAGUGUCAUUAAAUUCUCAACCUCACCAGUUUUGUAAUGAGACUGUGUAAGGCUUGGAUGUGAGGGUUUAUGCAGGCUGCCUCUGGGCGGUCUGCUCCCUUGAAAUGCAUUAGCGAGUUCACUAAGCUCCGUCUAUUGGUGUGAUAAUUAUCUACGCCGUGGAAUGGGUUUAGACUUGCUUCUAACCGUCUGCAAAGACAACUUUUGACAAUUUGACCUCAAAUCAGGUAGGACUACCCGCUGAACUUAA